rnacentral:rRNA from 1 species
GAUGAACGCUGGCGGCGUGCCUAAUACAUGCAAGUCGAGCGAACAGACGAGGAGCUUGCUCCUCUGACGUUGGCGGCGGACGGGUGAGUAACACGUGGAUAACCUACCUAUAAGACUGGGUUAACUUCGGGAAACCGGAGCUAAUACCGGAUAAUAUAUUGAACCGCAUGGUUCAAUAGUUAAAGACGGUUUUGCUGUCCCUUAUAGAUGGAUCCGCACCGCAUUAGCUAGUUGGUAAGGUAACGGCUUACCAAGGCAACGAUGCGUAGCCGACCGGAGAGGGUGAUCGGCCACACUGGAACUGAGACACGGUCCAGACUCCGACGGGGGGCAGCAGUAGGGAAUCUUCCGCAAUGGGCGAAAGCCUGACGGAGCAACGCCGCGUGAGUGAUGAAGGUCUUCGGAUCGUAAAACUCUGUUAUUAGGGAAGAACAAAUGUGUGAGUAACUAUGCACGUCUUGACGGUACCUAAUCAGAAAGACACGGCUAACUACGUGCCAGCCGCCGCCGUAA